rfam:Selaginella moellendorffii unplaced genomic scaffold SELMOscaffold_42, whole genome shotgun sequence.
GGCCGCGUAGCGCAGUGGAUUAGCGCGUUGGACUUCGGAUCCAAAGGCCGUGGGUUCGAAUCCCACCGUGGUCG